rnacentral:rRNA from 1 species
AUUGAACGCUGGCGGCAGGCUUAACACAUGCAAGUCGAGCGGGCGAGGUCGCUUCGGUAACUGAGCUAGCGGCGGACGGGUGAGUAAUGCUUAGGAAUCUGCUUAUUAGUUGGGGACAACAUUCCGAAAGGAAUGCUAAUACCGCAUACGCCCUACGGGGGAAAGCAGGGGAUCUUCGGACCUUGCGCUAAUAGAUGAGCCGAAGGCAGAUUAGCUAGUUGGUGGGGUAAAGGCCUACCAAGGCGACGGUCUGUGGCGGGUCUGAGAGGAUGAUCCGCCAGACUGGGACUGAGACACGGCCCAGACUCCUACGGGAGGCAGCAGUGGGGAAUAUUGGACAAUGGGGGAAAGCCUGAUCCAGCCAUGCCGCGUGUGUGAAGAAGGCCUUUUGGUUGUAAAGCACUUUAAGCGAGGAGGAGGCUACUUGGAUUAAUACUCUAGGAUAGUGGACGUUACUCGCAGAAUAAGCACCGGCUAACUCUGUGCCAGCCGCCGCUGUAAGAC